rnacentral:rRNA from 1 species
UACGUAGGGUGCAAGCGUUGUCCGGAAUUAUUGGGCGUAAAGAGCUCGUAGGCGGUUUGUCGCGUCUGCUGUGAAAACUCGGGGCUUAACUCCGGGCCUGCAGUGGGUACGGGCAGACUAGAGUGCGGUAGGGGAGACUGGAAUUCCUGGUGUAGCGGUGAAAUGCGCAGAGAUCAGGAGGAACACCCGUAGCGAAGGCGGCACUCUGGGCCGAUACUGACACUGAGAAGCGAAAGCAUGGGGAGCGAACAGG